rnacentral:lncRNA from 1 species
UUUUUUUUCCGUGUGUAUUUUUUGUUUUUUAAGUUUUUUUUUUCUGUAAAAUGUCCCGGUUUUCCAUAACUUAUAAACAUGAUUUCUAUGGAGGGGUGGAGGGGAAAGUGACAGGCGGCCCGGCGCUCCUCUGCUGCCCUCAGGAGGACGGGGACAUCAAGUCUUUCCUCCCUGAGCCUGUACAGCCGCCUCUGUGCCCCUGCCUGGGCGCUCACAAUCGAAUGCCCUUCAGAUCCCAGAACUCCCUCGGGGACCCCAGGCCUCCAGACACUGUCCCCUGGCGCUGGGAUCCUCGGGCAUGGGGUAGGUCCCCUCCUUCCCACUGCCCCAACCCCAAGAGAGAGGGAGGAGGGGAGGGCAGCUGGCCCAGCAGUGGUCUGCAGAGGAAGGCCAGGAGGACUCAGCCGAUGGUGAGGCCAAAGCCACACAGGAACUUAUUCUUGCGGUGGUUCAGGAAGGCGCAGAGCGACAGUGUCAGGGGCAAGGGCGGAAGCUUCUUCUCCAGCGUGGCACCCACGAUCCAGUUACUGUUCACAGAGCCUGUGGGUCAAGAAUGGGGCAGAGACUGGGUGGCUCGAUGUGCCUGGUCAUCCACCUCUAUGGCAGCCACAACAGACCCAUAAAGUAUACAUCCUGGCACUUGUGAAGCGGCUACUUGGGCCUGUUACUCUCCAGCUCUGGGGUCCCUGGGAUGGUGGCUUCCAUGAACACACAGGACUAGUGUCGCUUGAGUUGGGCUCAAGCUUAGCUCUAUCUCUAGGUAAGGGUUAAACAGGGUGCAGGCAGCAGGGCUGGACUCAGCUGGCCUGGCC